UGGCGAACGGGUGAGUAACACGUAGAUGAUCUGCCUUUGGGCCGGGGAUAGCCCAUGGAAACAUGGAUUAAUACCGGAUGAUGUUACGAGACUAUGGUUUUGUAAUGAAAGGGGCUUAGGCCCUGCCUGAAGAUGAGUCUGCGGCCCAUUAGCUAGUUGGUGGGGUAAGAGCCUACCAAGGCAACGAUGGGUAGCCGGCCUGAGAGGGUGACCGGCCACAUUGGGACUGAGACACGGCCCAGACUCC
rnacentral:rRNA from 1 species